rnacentral:rRNA from 1 species
AUUGAACGCUGGCGGCAGGCCUAACACAUGCAAGUCGAACGGUAACAGGAAGCAGCUUGCUGCUUUGCUGACGAGUGGCGGACGGGUGAGUAAUGUCUGGGAAACUGCCCGAUGGAGGGGGAUAACUACUGGAAACGGUAGCUAAUACCGCAUAACGUCGCAAGACCAAAGAGGGGGACCUUAGGGCCUCUUGCCAUCGGAUGUGCCCAGAUGGGAUUAGCUAGUAGGUGGGGUAACGGCUCACCUAGGCGACGAUCCCUAGCUGGUCUGAGAGGAUGACCAGCCACACUGGAACUGAGACACGGUCCAGACUCCUACGGGAGGCAGCAGUGGGGAAUAUUGCACAAUGGGCGCAAGCCUGAUGCAGCCAUGCCGCGGGUAUGAAGAAGGCCUUCGGGUUGUAAAGUACUUUCAGCGGGGAGGAAGGGAGUAAAGUUAAUACCUUUGCUCAUUGACGUUACCCGCAGAAGAAGCACCGGCUAACUCCGUGC